AUGUGCAGCUGGGCCCUGUGCUACGUGGCCCUCUGUCUCCUGGGUGCAGGACCCACGGAUGCUGAAAUCUACCAGAGGAGAUUCCUGCUUGCUGAAGCUGGAUGGGAUGUGACCCUGGAGUGCAAACAGAGUCUGAGAUACAAUGCCAUGUACUGGUACCGGCAGGACCCGGGGCCAGGUCUGAGGCUGAUUUAUUACUCAACGGUUGAAAAGGAUGUUCAGAAAGGAGACAUAUCUGAAGGCUACAGUGUCUCUCGAGAGGAGAAAGGACUGUUUCCUCUCACUGUGAAGCUGGCCCACAUCAACCAAACAGCCUUGUACGUCUGUUCUGGCAGCGCACCACGGUGGAACACGGCCACCGCCCAUCAGUGCACAAACCCGCUCCAGCCCUGCGGCCUCCACUACAGCCUCUACCUAAAACGUUUUAAAUGUCCCUCUGCUCAGCAUGCUUCCCUGCACUAUGCAUUCUGA